CGCUCUGACCAGCCCGCAGAGCCAGCCCCCGACCCCGGGCCACCUGGGCCCCCGGGUUCCGCCGGCAGUCUCGCCACCACCGCGUGGGUCUGACAAGAUGUACCAGGUCCCACUGCCACUGGAUCGGGAUGGGACCCUGGUACGGCUCCGCUUCACCAUGGUGGCCCUGGUCACGGUCUGCUGUCCACUUGUCGCCUUCCUCUUCUGCAUCCUCUGGUCCCUGCUCUUCCACUUCAAGGAGACAACGGCCACACACUGUGGGGCAGGUUCCAGUCUGCGGGGGAGAUGGAGAAGGUGCCACCAUGCUGCUGCACAAAUCCCAGGAUAGCUGGGGAAUGAGAAUCCAGCACUUUGGGCCUAGGACGUGGAAGGAGAGGUCUUUUGGGAGAGGUGCCCAAUUACCUGCCCUCGGUGAGCUCAGCCAUCGGCGGGGAGGUGCCCCAGCGCUACGUGUGGCGUUUCUGCAUCGGCCUGCACUCGGCGCCUCGCUUCUUGGUGGCCUUCGCCUACUGGAACCACUACCUCAGCUGCACCUCCCCGUGUUCCUGCUAUCGCCCGCUCUGCCGCCUCAACUUCGGCCUCAAUGUCGUGGAGAACCUCGCGUUGCUAGUGCUCACUUAUGUCUCCUCCUCCGAGGACUUCAGUGGGUGCCUGGAUGAGGGAGGAGUGGGGAAGUGUUCCCUGAGGGGACGGGCCCGCCCCUACCACAUUCGGACCUUCCUACUUCGUGGUGUGGGCACUCCCUGCAAUGUGGCUCCCAAUCCUCUUUCCCUCCAGCCGUCCACGAAAAUGCUUUCAUUGUGUUCAUUGCCU
rnacentral:sRNA from 1 species